GACAGAAGGUGCAAACGUUGUUCGGAAUUACUGGGCGUAAAGCGCAUGUAGGCGGCCAAGCAGGUCGGAUGUGAAAUCCCUCGGCUCAACCAAGGAGGUGCAUUCGAAACCGCAUGGCUGGAGUCCCGGAGAGGGUAGUGGAAUUCUCGGUGUAGAGGUGAAAUUCGUAGAUAUCGAGAGGAACACCGGCGGCGAAAGCGGCUACCUGGACGAGGACUGACGCUGAGAUGCGAAAGCGUGGGGAGCAAACAGG
rnacentral:rRNA from 1 species